ensembl:lncRNA
UUCCACUUGCAUUGGCAAUGUAAACAUAUGUUUCCCAAGUCAAUAAAGCCCAUUGAAUUGAGAGCGAGAAACAUGAGAAAGAGAGAGACUUGAAGGAAAGGUUGGAAAUGAGCCGAGGACAACAUUCGUGUUCGGGAAGUGAUAGGCGGGAACGAGAAGGCAAGGGAGGCAUGCGCUGAGCUGGAAGAGGUAGGCUGCUAGGGUCUGUUACGGAACAGAGGAGUGGUGGUGGCUGCGUGGGGGAAUAGGGGCUGGACUGGGUCUUGGUCUGUCUACGUACACAGCAGACGACCACGGGGAGGCUGGAACCACACAGUCACGUCUCCUGCUGAGGGGUGUAGCCGGAAAAAAAGAGAAAGAAAGAGAGAGAAUAGAAAGACAGAGAGCCACGCACGGCUCAGCUGAGGCAAGCAAACGAUUGGAGUAGAAAUCGUGAGAGACAACCGCUGGAAGCGAACAGUGGAAGGGAGGAAGGAAAGAGAAAACAGACAGGACCCAAAUCUGCCAGCGACCACCACCUCCUCUCCAUCUCGAUGGUUAGCUGCGCACCCACAUAGACCAAUGACACCCCCCGCCCUCUUCUAAAAAGACAACUAGGGGGGAUGACCGCCUACCGAGAAGGCAGUUGACUAGCGUCGUAACUAAGCGAUGCACCUUCUUUCCAAGAGCGCAAGCUUGAAGCUAUAUUUUAUCCUAACAUAGGCUAUUUGACGAAUGUCAGUGUUGACAUUAUUUCCUAAUAGUGUUGUGGUUAUUGACAACGAGCCUCGGUUUGUUUUCGAGACUCUGUAAAGCAAAGUUUUUUUUUCUGCUGGACUUGUUUUUUUUCACUGCGUCCUGGAUUUCCAUACUUGCAGAAAAACAGAUGAUUAUUUUUGCGACAAGCUAGGCCUAUUUGUAAAGAAAUAUAGCAGUAGAACGAACGGACUCCUUUGGGGUGGGUUUUUAUGUCUUUAUUUUCCGUACAGUCUGUUAUAUAUACAUUAUAUUCUAUCGACAAAGGUUCGACAAGCGCCUACUAAACUUGUCUCUUGAAUAGACACCCUUCUGUAGCCUAUUUAACCGUUUGAAACGGAUGUGUGCACACCAAGAAGAUACUGAGAAGUGACAGUAGAGGAGACAUCCAACGAGGACAGCCGACAAGGAUACUUUCUAUACGUUGGCGUCCAGUGGAGACAAGGCUUUUAUAAAAGACCUCCACAAGUCUGGUUCAUCCUUGGGAGCAAUUUCCAAACGCCUGAAGGUACCACGUUCAUCUGUACAAACAAUAGUACGCAAGUAUAAACACCAUGGGACCACGCAGCCGUCAUACCGCUCAGGAAGGAGACGCGUUCUGUCUCCUAGAGAUGAACUUACUUUGGUGCCACUGCUACAAAACCACCAUAAAAAAGCCAGACUACGGUUUUCAACUGCACAUGGGGACAAAGGUCGUACUUUUUGGAGAAAUAUCCUCUGGUCUGAUGAAACAAAAAUAGAACUGUUUGGCCAUAAUAACCAUCGUUAUGUUUGGAGGAAAAAGGGAUGAUCGCAAGCUGAAGAACACCAUCCCAACUGUGAAGCACAGGGGUGGCAGCAUCAUGUUGUGGGGGUGCUUUGCUGCAGGAGGGACUGGUGCACUUCACAAAAUAGAUGGCAUCAUGAGGGAGGAAAAUUACGUGGAUAUAUUGAAGAAACAUCCCAAGACAUCAGUCAGGAAGUUAAAGCUUGGCCGCAAAUGAGUCUUCCAAAAGGACAAUGACCCCAAGCAUACUUCCAAAGUUGUGGCAAAAUGGCUUAAGGACAACAAAGUCAAGGUAUUGGAGUGGCCAUCACAAAGCCCUGACCUCAAGUCCCAUAGAAAAUUUGUGGGCAGAACUGAAAAAGCGUGUGAGAGCAAGGAGGCCUACAAACCCGACUCAGUUACACCAGCUCUGUCAGGAGGAAUGGGCCAAAAUUCACCCAACUUAUUGUGGGAAGCUUGUGGAAGGCUAACCGAAACGUUUGACCCAAGUUAAACAAUUUAAAGGCAAUGCUACCAAAUACUAAUUGAGUGUAUGUAAACUUCUGACCCACUGGGAAUGUGAUGAAAGAAAUAAAAGAUUAAAUCAAUUAUUCUCUCUGCUACUAUUCUGACAUUUCACAUUCUUAAAAUAAAGUGGUGAUCCUAACUGACCUAAGACAGGGAAUUUUUACUAGGAUUAAAUGUCAGGAAUUGUGAAAAACUGAGUUUAAAUGUAUUUGGCUAAGGUGUAUGUAAACUCCCGACUCAACUGUAUUGUUAUUUUUUACUGCUCCUCUUUAACUACUUAUAUUUUUUGAAACUGCACUGUCGGUUAGGGGCUCAUAAGUAAGCAUUUCACUGUAAGGUCCACACCUGUUGUAUUCGGCGCAUGUGACUAAUACAAUUUGAUUUGAUUUGAUGAUUGAGAAAGUUGCAAAAGGAACUUGCGCUCUGUUCCUUGCCUCAGGCUGCACAUGCUGUUCUCUCAUCAAGUAUUUAUAUUCUCACUCAUCAGACUAUACCCUAUUUAAUCUUGUCUUUAACAUUAUGUCAAAUUAUUAUACAUUUAGAAUGGCCCAUUAUCAAUUGGUCAGGAACAGGUUCAGGGGGAAUAAGACGUGUCAUCCGCAUGCACUGGAACAGCGAAUGGAGGCUGCUUUCCCACCAGUUCCCUUUUCAAUCAUGCUGGGUCGGCUACUCCUGUUAUUUCACUCCACACACCAACCGCUGUUUGAGGAACAGGCAGCCUCUCGCUGUAUGUAUGUCAUGGGCUCUCCAUCCCAGCUCUGUAUGUCAUGGGCUCUCCAACCCAGCUCUGUAUGUCAUGGGCUCUCCAACCCAGCUCUGUAUGUCAU